AUUAAACUAAAAUCAUACAUUGCUGGUUUUCUUCCUUAAUAUUUUUCCUCCCCAAAUUAAAAGCCCUAGGCUCCUAACUAGUCUUCCUCAUCUCCUUGCGCCACUGCCGUCCGCCACCCCCACCUCUGUAACUGUUUCUUAUAACAAAGAUCAAAGCCCGGUUAAGUUGAAUUUAUGCGCCGGAGCUUACCGAACCGAGGUCUGUACUUGUAUUUCAUCUUAUGCGGAGAAUUAUUGAGUGAUAUUUGGCUUUAUAAUUGGUAAAUGGCAUGAAGGAAAACCUCUUGUUCUCAAUGUAGUGAGGAAGGCAGAUUAAAUGCUUGUGAAUGAUCAAUCUCGUGUGAAAGAAUAUCUUCCAAUUAUUGGAGUCGCAGAUUUUAACAAAUUGAGUGUCAAGCUCAUUUUUGGAGCUGACAUGUAAAGGGAACUGCAAUUUUAGUUUAAGUUGCGGGAUUUUAUUGAAUACAACAAUUCUUUGGAUUUUGUUGGGCCCUGAUGAAUUCUAAAAAGUAUUCUUUCGAAGAGGAAUUACGUAUGUGCUGUCAAGAUUCUAUAAGAUUUUAGUUAUAGAAACUAGAUUUUUCAAA